UUUUGUUUUUGAAGGGUUCUCUUCUCUCAGUUUUGAGACAAUUUGCUUGCUUGAAGAGUGACAAGCAAGCAAUUUCUGUGGGAUUUGUGGGAUAUUUCAAUGUUGGGAAGUCAUCAGUUAUCAACACAUUGCGAACAAAAACUGUUUGCAAGGUUGCUCCUAUCCCUGGGGAAACUAAAGUAUGGCAAUCUAUCACACUUACAAAGAGGAUUUUCUUAAUUGAUUGUCCUGGGGUUGUUUAUCAAAACAACCAUGACACCGAAACAGAUAUUGUGUUGAAGGGAGUGGUUCGUGUCACAAACUUGGAAGAUGCUUCAGAACACAUAGGAGAAGUUUUGACUCGUGUUAAGAAAGAGCGCCUAGAAAGAGCUUACAAGAUAAAAGACUGGUACUAUCUUUGUUAAGGUGUUUACUGUAUCCAUGUUGAAUC